GGGCAGUGUUUUGAGCCCAUUUCUGAGACCAUUUCUCCUGCAGCUUAGAUUAUAAUGGGGCAUCAGCUCUGCCUAAGAGGCAACGAGGACAGACCAGACAAUGAUGAAACAGAAACAGAAACAGGUUCCCCAGCUCUGGGGAGAAGGCUCAUUCCCGCCCCCCUCAUCCCCCGCACCCACCGCCGCUGCAAUCUGCAUCUCCGGUAAACAAGUCCCAGGGAAUGUAGUAAAACUCCCGUGGUUUCCAGGAACCUUGUCACACUGCAAAAAAAAAAACCCACAAAAAACAAAAAAACAAACUCUUGGAGGCCCGCAUCAGUGUCUGGGGGUGGGGCGGGGGUUCUCCUUGGAGGACUUUGGAGAGACUUGGAAAUUCUGAGCACAGAUAAUGGAGGCUCCAGGUGCUUGGGUCACAGCCAGGAAAAUCAUCCAAGACGCAGCACGAUGCGGGAAUGGCGCGCAGCCCUGCGGAAGGCGGCCAGGCCCCACAGAUCGGGGACAGGGUUUUCAGAUCAAUUAGACGCAUAAAUUUCUGAUGACUGCCACGGGAUGUUCCGCAUCUCCAUCCAUACUGCGGAGAUGCCGCUAUGAGGAACAACGAGUAACCUUCAAAGGCGGCUGACCCUACUGAUUAAUUACAGUGAGCCCCCACAGCCUCAUAUCAAUAACAGGGAAACGAAGUCAGUUUCUGCUGACUUUUGCUCUCGACAGGUUGAAUGUUGAGUUCACGUGGACACCACAGAAUCAUGAUAUCCUACAGAUUCAGCUACUUGGGGACAUAUUUUAAGCUAGCACUUUCUCCAAAGCCUCUCAGGAAGGCAGCAACUGCUUGUGAGCUAGCAGAGAAAGGUCUGCACAGCCUCAAUCAUUCAUUUCACAAAUGCUGAGACUCGAGGCUGCUGUGUGUCACGCUAGCUCCAAGGUUGCAAAGAGAGGACAGGCCCUAUAUGGAGGAAAGGAUGGGGCCAUGACCACGGUGCCACAGGCUGUAGGCCCCCAAGGACAGCCCUGUGCUGCAUUUGUGACUGUGUCUCUUGCACCUAACAGGAGGCCCAGCAUUUAGCAGAUGCUCAAUAAAAACAGUGACAAAUGAAUAAUACAAUGUUAUGUCUUUGAUAACAGUGAUCUGGGAGUUCAGGGAGAAAGCAGGUAAUUCUGCUUGGGAAUUAAAGGCUUUGAAGAAGGAAUGACAGGUCCCAGCUGGUCUUUGGAAUGUAGGAGGCAAUGGGCAGAGAAGGAAGGGCAGUCCAGGAGGAGGGCAACAAGCAGGAGGGUGUGAUGUGGCAGGAGGUCAGACCCAAAGG
rnacentral:lncRNA from 1 species